AACGGCCCCUCAGGACAGACAACAGCACGCAACACACCGAACAGACUCGAGUCGCCGACCUCGACAGACUGUCCGGCGGCCGAUUAUCGGGUUGGUGUGUCACGGCCCUAAGACACACUGAUACAGACACACAC